rnacentral:rRNA from 1 species
CGGGGGGGGGGGCAAGCGUUGUUCGGAAUUACUGGGCGUAAAGGGCGCGUAGGCGGUCCCGCAAGUCUUUCGUGAAAUCCCACAGCUCAACUGUGGAAUUGCGAGGGAAACUGCAGGACUUGAGUUCGGGAGAGGAGAGUGGAAUUCCCAGUGUAGCGGUGAAAUGCGUAGAUAUUGGGAGGAACACCGGUGGCGAAGGCGGCUCUCUGGACCGACACUGACGCUGAGGCGCGAAAGCUAGGGGAGCAAACGGGAUUAGAUACCCCGGUAGUCCUAGCCCUAAACGAUGAGCACUUGGUGUGGCGGGUAUCGACCCCUGCCGUGCCGAAGCUAACGCAUUAAGUGCUCCGCCUGGGGAGUACGGUCGCAAAGGCUG